UUUCUAUACUGCCAAUGAAAUAUUGGUUAUAUGAUGGUAUUACAUUUGAAAUAUGGAGUGACUCGCUAUUUAUAUGGUUCAUAUUUUUUAUACAAGCGUUUAGAUAGGACAUUAAUUUGUUGCCAAAGAGGAUUUUAUAUUACUGGAUGUAUCUUUUCUGCCCCAAGCUGUGUUGCCACUAGUCAGCUACUGCUGUGUUUAUGUUACUAGAUUUUGUACCUUAAAGUGUAUGUAUUAUUCUAUUGUAAUAUUUUAAAAUCUGUUACUUGUAAUGAAUUUUAUUCAAGUUGUUAUAUAUUUGAACCUUAAGUAGAGUAUUGUAAUUCAUUUAAAUGCAACUAAACUAGUUUAGUCUCCCAAAUGACUUGGUAUCAGUUUUAUAACUUAUUAUAUCAAACAACUUUAAUAGUCAUUUUUGUAUACUAAAUGUUUAGCAAAUCUGUAAUUGAAAGCUGUUUUUUCCGAUGUACUAUAUACUUUUAUUAUUUAUCCAGUUUCUUGAUUGAAGAUAAAUGUCUUUAAAUUGAAGUUGUGACAUUCUGCAGGUAUGAGAAGCGCAAUUAGCUCAAUACAACUACAUCUUGGUUGUCGGAGAGGAGGAAGCAAAUACUGGACAGGUGAGUUAGAGGCAAGGGAGAUCAUAACGUUAUGAGUAUAGAGAACCUACUUAAACAUUUCAGAGACGAAGCUGCAGCUUACCAUUGAUACUUUGCUUGUGAAAACUGUUGAAGAAAAUUUUCAGUCCCAAAUACCUUAGUUUUUACACAUUUGUGUGUGCAUUAUUUAUAUUUUUAAUUCAACUUAGCUAUUUAUCCUGGUUUUAUAUAUGAUUUGAAUGAUGUAUUGCAUUGCCAUCACGCUACUAAGAUAACGGGACUUUUGGUUACACCUUGAGCGUAGUUAACUAGAUCAUUGUAUUGCAGUUUUCCCGUUCCUACCUUAUAUAAGCAAUUCUGUAAUCAGUCGAAUUUA